GGACACAGAAUCACUUAUCUAUUUCCCAAGACCAAAGAAGACAUUGGACCUUUGUCAAACUCCAACACCUGUUGGGAGAACCUAAGGAAGUUGUUAAGCAAGUGACUGGAGCCCAAUUCCUGCUGCUGCCAAGGAGUCAGGCCUGCUGGCCCUCUCCCCUUUGCCUCUCCUCUUUUACUAUUACAAAGCUGGCCCUUCAAAGCACAGUGCUCUCUGCAAUACAGAAGCCCUCGCUAUCUCUACAGUGGAGAAAAUGUGCACCACGGGAAAAGGUCAUAGCAUAGAACAAUCUGAAGAGCACUGGUCUGCAUCCCACUUAGAAACCUCCAACUCCAAAUGUCAGUUUUCCUCCUGAGACAGCAUUUCUGGGCUGCUGCCUCCCGCUCCAGAGAGAUGUGCUUCUGGGAAAGUCAACUACACCGUGCAAGAGGUCUGUGAAAUGUGUCGGCACUUCCAUAAAAUAGAUGUAACUGAGGCUCUUCAGUCGGGCCCUCUUCUCCUGCUUAUUCCUUGGCAAAGAGUUUCUAAGAUCCUCCUCUAGCACCCUGGGCACUCAGGAAGUAAAAGCCACCUUUUUCUAGCCACUAGGGAAGAACAAGGGCUGGUGUUUCCCAGUCUGUCCGGAGAGUGACUCUUUACCCAACACAUGGAAGCUACCUGGAUGCUGAGUGAAGAUAAAUAGUGCCGUCUCCUUGGGUCGUUUACUUCCAAGCAAGGCCCAUAUUGAUUUUGCCUCUCCCUGUACUAACCUGUUCGGUGAUGUACAGCUGAGGACCAUCUGCGUAACGGAGGGUAUAAUACUCUGGGUUUGGCAACGACCACCUAUGCAAGAGAAAAACAGUAUAUCCCACUUGGCCACUCUCUUGUUCAGAAGCUGCUCAUAAGUAAUUUUCAAAAGAGUUGCUCAAGGGAUUGGGUGGCCUAUUUGGAAUACAGCGGAAACAAAGCUUUAGGUUGUCAUGUUGAAAAAAUCAUGGCCUCAGCCUUUUGUAAAGAUGAGCACCACAAUAGGAGGUGUGCAGAACUGAGGAGGGGUCUCAGAUCCUACCUCAAUAGGGCAAUGCUAGACUUUAAGGAAAAAAUUAAGAAGUAUAAACGUCUUAGGAGUAUGGUUGUCAACUGUACUUCCUUCCCAAGACAAUGAUUCCCAAGACCCCCAUGCUGAGGACCUGCCUAACUGGAGAUCCUUCCCAGAACUCCCCUCAAGGUGUGGGAGUGCUCUUUCAGUCGGAGCUGCCACUGUUGAAAACGAGGUCCAUUUCAACCUACCCAUCACAAACUUCCUUGAUAAUGGAUGCCAGGGGCCGUUUCUGAAAGAGAGAGAGAGAAAGCCUUCAACAGCAGCAACAUCCUACUCAUGCCAAGGUUCUGACAAGAGGCCUGCCAAGCAGGGUCAAGCUGGGGUAUGAGAAUGAACUUCUUUCCUAACAGCUUUUGUUGAAGAGGAAGCCUCUCCCAAGCCAUGGUGACCGACCUUCCCUAGGGUGGGCCAGGCCCAAAGCUUAGCCUUCCUGUUGCUCGUUCUUACUCUUGAUGCCGGUGGUCCCCAUCCCUCAAGAUGUCCUCUGCCAUGCACUCCCCAGGUGCCUUUCCUUGAACCAAUGCUUCUCACUUCAGGAGCAUACCUGGUCGAUUUCAAGGAGCUGGGCGUUAGCACCUGGCCACUCAAUGGCCACUUUGACAAUGUCUGACGGUGGUGGCAUCGUUCCCAAUGGGCUCUAAUUCUGCGAGACAAAAACA